rnacentral:rRNA from 1 species
GUCUAUGGCCAUACCACCCUGGACACAACCAAUCUCAUCUGAUCUCGGAAGCUAAGCAGGAUCGGGCCUGGUUAGUAGUUGGGUGGGAGAAAUAAACAAAUUUAAAAUCGGACAUCAUUCUGACU